AAAGUCCGUGAGUCCGUGAGGGGGGACAUUGAGACUGGACCAUGGCACUUCCUCGCUGCUGCGCUCUUAAAAUAGGAAACUGGUGACCUGUUGCUCAUUUUGCCUUGAGAGGAAAUUUCAACGGAUUCACAUCGUCAAAUGUCAGUAAAGUGAAGAAGAAGAAGCAGCAGCAGACCCCCAGCUCAGCCACUGUGAUGGAGCUGGUGAGCACCAAGCAACACGGACUCACCAAGCAGGUCAGUCGGCUGCAGGGUCGCCUGGGUCCCGGCAAAAACAAAGCCAUUGUCAAAGACAAGAGGAUCAAGUCUGCAGUGGGUGCCUUUGUCAUUCCUCAAGAGUAUGACAGCCAGAAAGAAGGCAAACCCUGCGCCUGCGAUGAUCAUGCCCCAUAUCUUCGCGGCAACACCUGACAAACACAGGACAGAGCACGUCACCCAGAUUAGCUAAGAGAUAUGACGUGCUCGGGGGCAGCGCGGGUGUACCACUCUGACCACCCGCCGUCGUACACCGACACCCCCGGGUGCCCGCACUCGUGGGCCGCCAGCGCCACGUGACACGCAGUCACAGCCGAGCCGCAUGAGAC